UACGUAGGGAGCAAGCGUUGUCCGGAAUCAUUGGGCGUAAAGCGCGCGUAGGCGGCCCUGUAAGUCCGUUGUGAAAGUCAAAGGCUCAACCUUUGAAAGCCGAUGGAUACUGCAGGGCUAGAGUCCGGAAGAGGCGAGUGGAAUUCCUGGUGUAGCGGUGGAAUGCGCAGAUAUCAGGAGGAACACCGAUGGCGAAGGCAGGUCACUGGGCCGCAAAUGACGCUGAGGAGCGAAAGCAUGGGGAGCGAACAGG
rnacentral:rRNA from 1 species